UACGUAGGGGGGCAAAGCGUUGUCCCGGAUUUAUUGGGGCGUAAAGAGCGUGUAGGCGGCUAGAUAGGUCUGCUGUGAAAACUCGAGGCUCAACCUCGAGAUGUCGGCGGAAACCGUCUGGCUAGAGUCCGGAAGAGGAGAGUGGAAUUCCUGGUGUAGCGGUGAAAUGCGUAGAUAUCGUAAGGAAGACCAGUGGCGAAGGCGGGUCUCUGGACAGUUCCUGACGCUGAGGCACGAAGGUCAGGGGAGCAAACGGG
rnacentral:rRNA from 1 species